rnacentral:rRNA from 1 species
UACGGGGGGAGCAAGCGUUGUUCGGAUUUACUGGGCGUAAAGGGCGCGUAGGCGGCCACUGCAAGUCGGUUGUGAAAUCUCCGGGCUUAACCCGGAAAGGUCAAUCGAUACUGCAGGGCUAGAGUGCAGAAGGGGCAACUGGAAUUCUCGGUGUAGCGGUGAAAUUCGUAGAUAUUCGCAAGAACACCAGUGGCGAAGGCGGCUCACUGGCCCGGUACUGACGCUGAGGUGCGAAAGCGUGGGGAGCAACAGG